CACGUAGGGGCGCAAGCGUUGUCCGGAAUUAUUGGGCGUAAAGAGCUCGUAGGCGGUCUGUUGCGUCCGCUGUGAAAACCCGGGGCUUAACCCCUGGCUUGCAGUGGAUACGGACAGACUAGAGGUAGGUAGGGGAGAAUGGAAUUCCCGGUGUAGCGGUGAAAUGCGCAGAUAUCGGGAGGAACACCGGUGGCGAAGGCGGUUCUCUGGGCCUUACCUGACGCUGAGGAGCGAAAGCGUGGGGAGCGAACAGG
rnacentral:rRNA from 1 species